rnacentral:misc_RNA from 1 species
AACGCACGAGACCUGCGGACCUGCGGAGGGAUCAUUACCGAGUUAUCCAACUCCCAACCCCUGUGAAUUAUACCUUUAAUUGUUGCUUCGGCGGGACUUCGCGCCCGCCGGGGACCCAAACCUUCUGAAUUUUUUAAUAAGUAUCUUCUGAGUGGUUAAAAAAACGAAUCAAAACUUUCAACAAUGGAUCUCU